ACCCGCUGAACUUAAGCAUAUCAAUAAGCGGAGGAAAAGAAACUAACAAGGAUUCCCCUAGUAACGGCGAGUGAAGCGGGAACAGCUCAAAUUUGAAAUCUUGCAGGGUUACCUGUACGAAUUGUAGUUUAGAGAAACGUUUUCGGACGUGAUGUGGGUAUAAGUCCUUUGGAAUGAGGCAUCAUAGAGGGUGAGAAUCCCGUUCUUGGCCCAUAACUCAUGUCUAUGUGAUACGUUUUCAACGAGUCGGUUUGUUUGGGAAUGCAGACCAAAAUGGGUGGUAAAUACCAUCUAAAGCUAAAUAUUGGCGAGAGACCGAUAGCGAACAAGUACCGUGAGGGAAAGAUGAAAAGAACUUUGAAAAGAGAGUUAAACAGUACGUGAAAUUGUCAAAAGGGAAACGCUUGAAACCAGUAUUGCUUCCAAGUAAUCAGCCAUGUCUCGCGAUAUGGUGCACUUGCUUGUCAGCAGGUCAACAUCAGUUUGGUUUGGGGAAAAAAACCAGAGAAAGGUAGCCCCUUGGGUGUUAUAGUCUCUGGUGCUGCCCUGGACUGGACUGAGGACUGCAGCAUUUUUGGGUAGCCAGUCGCUUCCUGAAACCUUUCGGCAGACAGCAUGCUGACUGUUGAAAAACGUAGGGAAUACGGUUGGUGAUCUACACCAAUGCUUAGGAUGUUGACGAAAUGGUUUUAAACGACCCGUCUUGAAACACGG
rnacentral:rRNA from 1 species